rnacentral:ncRNA from 1 species
CGAAUCGGACAGUGCGGGAAACCGCAUGAAACUCGCCUGCAAUCCCGGCAUCACCGCGCGAGCGGUGUGGCGACUUUUCAAAUGCUGCCUAUGGCGGCACCUCA